GGGUGCGGUGACGUUGCUGCUUUACCUGCCAUCUAGGACUUAAACAAUGCCCGUGCUUCGUUUUAGGAGAAGUAGGUGCUGUGUUUUGUGAAGGAAAAUGGCUAAGGAAUUAAGUUGGGCACAAUAGUUACUACAUUUUCUUAUGGGAGAAGUAACGUGUGUUCAGACAGGAGAGUCUCACACCCGGUCUGCCUCGCCCUUCACUAUGAGAUGAUCGUGUCGUAUCUGCAUUUCCGAAUCUUGCUGGAACUCUUGCAGCUUUGCCUCUGCCUCUCCUAACUUCCCUGUGCUCAUACUUCACCUCAUCUAUCCUCUCUGAUACGCUGAUGACAACACGGUGCUCUCUGGUUCAAUCUGUUUCUAUGUGAAUACAGAGCCUGCAUAUGAGCUCUGAUUGGUUCUUACUGCUCUGCUCCUCAGAGAAUUUCCUGGUGGUUUGCUUCAGUAGCUUGAAAUAAAAACCCUGAUGUUAAUCUAAGGAUGAAACCAGCCCCCUGUGCAGCGUGGGGCUGGUGAGGAAGUGCACUGGGGUAGCCAGGCCCCGGGAGGGCUGUGAGAGUCUCACAUGCUGGGCGUGGGCCACCCGGGUCCCGUAACAGACUCACCAGUCCCCCGGCUGCAACUUGGCUUCCUGUAAGAAGAGCACGGUUCCUUGAUGCUAAGUCUCAUCUCCUAGUUUGCUUGGUUACAGGAAAUUUGAAUUAGAUGGUCCAGCACAAAGUGAUACAAAAUUACUGUUUUUAUUUUGGUCUGAGUUGUGAAAUUCUGGCAGCAUGCCCCCCAGGAGUCUUGCAAAGGGCUGACGUGGAUACAGCUUGAGCGAAGCAAUGCCGCUCUUUCCUUAAGUGUGUUUGGAAGUCAGACGUAACACAGACCUUAGAAAACAGUACUAAACAACUUUUCUACAAUAAAGAGAUUAAAUCCUGCCUUGAUUCUUUUAUUAACAGCUUUAUUGAGAUAAUCCAUGCCACACCAUUUAAAGUGUACAGACUGGGAUUUCCCCGGCGGUCCAGUGGUUAAGACUUCGCCUUCCAGUGCAGGGGGUGUGCUUUCGAUCCCUGGUCUGGGAGCUAAGAUCCCACAUGCCUCGCGGCCAAAAAACCAAAACAAAACAGAAGCGAUAUUGUAACAAAUUCAAUAAAGACUUUAAAAUUGGUCCACAUCCAAUAAAAAAGAAAUCUUAAAAAAAUAGAAAGAAAGUGUAUGGACUAUCUGGUGGCCUUUAGUCCUUCAGAGCUGUGGCUGCAUCACCACAAUCCAUGUUUAAACGGUUAUCACCCCACGAAGACAGUCCACACCCCUUUGCCGCUGUCCCUCAGUCCCCUCCCCUCCCAUCCCCCUAAACUUCAUGCAACCCCUCACCACUUUCUCUCUAUGUGGACGUGCCUCUCGUAGACGUUCUGUGUCAGUGGAGUCCUGCAGUGUGUGUCCUUUGUCAGUGGCCCCUUCGGUUUCACAGAGUGUCUGGAGGUUCGUCCUGUUGUAGCAGGUGCUUGCUUGCUUUCUCUGUCUUUUUAUUCUUUGUUUCUAUCGACAUCCUUGGUUCUUCAUCUUUGACCCUGAUGCCUUCAGCUCUAGGACAGAUGGACCACGUCACUGCCAGCCAGCUGGGUCCCAGCCCCCAGUGAGAGCUGCAGGGCUAACCUUUCACCCCUUGGGGGAGGCAACCUGACAAGCUGCCCCGGAGAUGGAUUCCUGCUGCUGAGACGCGCUUCCACUGCCAGCGCUUAGAAACCCAGAGAUCCCCUCCCCGCUGAGACGUUGAUGCUAAACACCAUGCGCUUCACAGGUCAGGUGGUGCAGGGUGGUCACGUUCGGGACUGGGGGGAACCUUCCAGAAGUACAGCUGCCAUGUCUAAAGACCCAGCACCAGCCUGCCCACGGAGGGCCAGCCUCCAACCCUGGGAAGCUGGGGUCUGGAUCGGGUUCUCGGGUCAUCCCUCUGGCCUGCGUGCUUGCCCCUAGGAAGGGUCCUGAGAGCCGUCCUGCUGAGCCAGAUCCCCUUCUCGUCCUGAGCAGGUGGGCUCAACUGUCCCAUUUCCAAAGGGCCUUGUCCUGUUGGGGCCUCAUGUCUCUCACUGGCAUCGAGGACAUUUCCUUAGUGCCGCCUGCUGGAAGGCCUUCUGAUUGUCCCUGAACCCGCCCUGCCAGGGUACCUCGUCGAGUAGGUGUGGAUGCUCGUAAACUUCUGGGGGCUUGGUGGCAUUUGGGUGAGUCUUCUGGGUUGAGCAUCGCUGGGUGCUGUGUGUCUGGAGGUGUGGUCCUCCUGGGGGAAGUGCGGGGCGCUGUCUGCAGGGGCAGCUCCAGAACCAGUGAUCAGUGUUCCCUGGACGUUAAAGCAGAGCCUUCAGUAACAGUGCAACCGGAAAGGUUUCUACUUUUUAGCAAAAACAGCAAUGUGGCUGCCAAGAGCCGGUGUGUGUGUGGACUGAUGGGAGAAAGCGGUGAAGUGGGAGAAGAGGACGUCCCUGUUCUGGUCAGGCCACACCUGGCUGGAUGCACCCAUCGUGGGAUCCAGACCGGCCGCAGCCUCAGCACAGGUGAGGGACCGACUGGGAAGGGCCCCAGACCAGUUCCCGAGAAGACUGGUUUAAAGGAAAGGUACCAAAGAUAAUUAGGAGAAGUCAUUAUAAACCUCUGAGGACAGUUCCACUAAUCAAUCCAGUUUGGAGUCAUUAAGAGCAAUGAUGACAGCAAACACUGUGUGUGUGUCCGCUAGGCCCCAGGCGUGUACUGAGGGCUUUUACACAUGUCUGCUUGGCCUGUAGAAGAGAAGACGGGGCGCCGCUUGUUGACUUUAUUUGGAGAGGUAAUUAGAGGCAGGAGGGGUAGCUCUGUGAGGUGCCAAGUGGUAGAUCUAGGAAAAGUGGGUUGAACCCAUAGACAGACUCUGCUUUCAGUAUGGAAGGGACCAGAAGAAGGAAAUGGGCAACUUCCAUGGCUGGUCAGGCCCAUGCCCUGAGGCUGACCUUGUUGGGAUGUAGAGGAGGUCCCCUGAGGUUCAUUAGGUUGUAGGGGAGGCCCUUUGAGGUUUGUUGGGACUGGAUAUAAACAAGGCUGGUAAACAGUCCAUGGGCCAUUUGAGAACAUUCUUGAGCCCAAGUGCAAACUGGCCUUGGUAUUCCUUGUAAACGGGAAUGAACCUCUGAGCAAGUAGGUAUUUAGGCAACCAUCUGGAGAGUAACUGUCUGCAGCAGGAACGGAUGGGCAAGGGCAUGGAUGGGAACUUUCUCCAGGACACACCGAGGUGCUCACUGCACUGCAGAGCUCCCCCCAUGCCCCACCCAGGGCCCCUCUGGAAGCCUCACUCCCUUUGAUUCCUCUUUCCCAGUACCAUGGCUGACUCCCCGGGGAACCCUGCAGCUACCAAGUAGAAUCCUGGGACUUUCCCAUCACGGGAAAUGAGCAGGUCCUCCUGGACCUGAGACCAUUUGGUUCUGGGGGGCUUUAGUCAAUCCUCUUGGUUGCAAAAGAGGACUGAUUGCAUUUUCCCAGAUCCAGAACUGUCUCAGAUUUCCAGCCUUGUUUAAACAAUGGGAUGCUAGUGUAUAAAACAGAGAAAGGAGGUAUUGGUGUAGAUACUAAGUUCAAAUGUAUAAUGUUCUCCAAAGAUCAACAGUGAGAACCGAUACUGCUUUGCUCUUAGGUUUAUGAGUAAUAUAUGUCAAUGUCAAUAUUAUUUAUUUUUCUUUUUUAAUUUUCUAGUAGGUGAUAAUUCUGACAGGUGAAUAAUGGCAAUUUUUAAACAGUUAACCUUGCAAGAAAAGAACCCCCAAAGUAGAGAUGUCAACAAUCUUGGGAUACUUUUUAAUGACUUGGGUAGUUGCGGCGGCAGCAGCAUUUAAGAUGUGAACACGAGUAAGUUCAGCUGGCAACACAAAACAUCACUUUGUCAGUCUCUAGUGUAAGACACAACAUAUACUUAAUUGCGCCCAUUUUAAUAUGGUUUUAGUUAACUCAAUAUAUUCCAAAAUAUAAUUUCAAUAUGUAAUCAGGACUUUAAACAAUUGGAUAGUUUACAUUCUUUUUUCCACAGUAAGACUGAAAUUGUGGAUUUCACACAGCACGUCUCAGUUCUGAGCCACUUUUUAAGUUCUCCAUCACCACUUGGGAAGCAUCCACUAGGGAAUUAAUCCACUCGAGAAUCAUCUGAAGUAAAUAUUAUUGGUACAUUCUACUGAAGAAGACACUGAAGCUCCUAAAAGGUGGAAUAACCUGCUGGGGGGUAGUCCUAGGGAGGCCUAGGACCUGGUCCGUUCAUCUCCAGAGUCUGGUUUUUCUACCCCUUAGUGCACAUUAUUUUGAUCGGUGUUUUAAAAUAGUUUUUAAAAACACUUCAAUUUUUUUACGACAGCGUUCUACCAGAAUGUUACCUGGGAUGGGGAGGCAAAGGAGGUACAGAGUCUGCUCUAUUUUAGCUUGUUCAUAUUUUCAUCAAGAAACCUGGAUUUUAAAAUUUUUGAUUGUUUUCAUUAAAACAGAAACAUGAGAGAGGCCAGGAUAGGCAGACCACAUAAUUGGCAGAUAUCAGGGGCCGAUUUAGCAGUGCCUGAUGGGUAAGAAGCCCUUGCUGUUCCCCGUGAGACUGAUGUGGUGCCCUUGGUAACUCUGUCUUCCCUCCUCGGUGAGCCCUUCAUUGCCCCAAGGCCAGGAGGAAGGAAGAGCAGCAGCCCUGCGAUUUCACAUGCCCCACAAGAAGUCACAGGUUCUGUGCAGCUUGUGGUCAGUGUUUAGACAGAAGGCCCCGUCCAGUGCCGGGGAGCGAGUUCAGCCGGGACCUCUGAGUCACGGGCUGGGAGCUGAGCGUGAAGUGGUCAGAGGUUCUCGUGCUUGUGGGGAGAACCCAUCCCACCUUUAUAUCCAGAUGCUGAUUCCUGCCACUGUGCGAUCCAUACGAGCAUGGGACCUGUGCAGAAACUGAGAAGCACGAUGGUAGCUCUGUGACGCGUGCAUCAUGGCAUAUCCAUGUAUAACCCAGUGACUGACAAGAGCUGAGUGUUGCAUUCCUCUUGACUCACCCGGUACUGUGGCCAAAAUGCAGGGCAGGUAGCCAUCGCCUAAGAGUCCGGGUCAUAAUCUCCCUUGUGUUGAAGUACAACACCCUUGUUUUAAUGUAUGCUCCCAAUCCUUUGAUAUGAUUCUGGAGAACCAGAUGCAGGAGUUUCCACCCCACUGUUUGUGUUGAAGCCAUUGUUGUGAAUUGGGUGUAGCCUAAGAGACUGCUCCUCCUGGAAUCUGCCAGAAGUAGGACCAAACUCUUGUCUUAGACAAUAAUCCGCCGGGAUCAGAUCAUCAAGUUCAGCAUCUGAGAGCCUGUGUAACCUCCAUAAAACUGACCAUGAAGCAUCUGCAUGAAGUUUUUCAAAAUGGACUACCUUAUGAGCGGCGGCCUGCAUGCCAGCCAGGAGGCAUUGGAUCAUGAGGUCGCGUUUACGACGGCCAUCGUGGCCAUCCUGAUAAGUCCAGCCUGGAUCGGUGCCGGGUACGGCAGUCGCUCCGACAGGCAUGGAGUUGUCGUACACGGGCCUCUCACUGCUGUGAUCCACCCCCCGCCGCAGAGCACAGGCCCCAGACGCGCAGGCCCAGCGGCCACGGCCCACGGGCCCAGCCGCUCUGCGGCACACAGGAUCCUCCCGGACCGGGGCACGAACCCGCGCCCCCUGCAUCGACAGGCGGACUGCCAACCACUGCGCCAUCAGGGAAGCCCCUGAACAGCAGUUUUAAUGCAGCUUUGAGCACUCAUGAAUUUGGAAUAAUAAGUAUUUAAUUUUUUGAUUUUUGUUUCAGUUCCCAUUUGCCAUAUUUAGUCAGAGAUACUGAAACAGAAAAGUUAAAAUGUAUUACUCUUGACUUCAAGAAAAUACGUACGAAAGAAAUGUAAAUAAA